ensembl:lincRNA Gm15138 predicted gene 15138
GUUAGAGGAGGAGGUAUAUGUGUAUGUGUCUAGUCUACGGUGUAGCCGGUCUGGGGGCUGGAGAAGGCUUGAGAGACAGCGAGGGAGAACUGAAUAGAGUCGUUCUCUAGCGGUCAGAGUCUCUAGUGAGGUGAGGGUCCCGGCCAGCCCGGGACCCUGAGAGAGGGAGGAGGCCGGGGGGCCGGGGGGCGUGUCCAGGAUCGGGCUGAGCGAUGAAUGGGCCCAGGAUGAAUGGAAAGAGGCAGCGGCGGCCAACAGUCUGUUCAGAGUCUUGCUGACAUACAUCUGAGUUUGUGGAAGUGUACAUUUAAGAACAUUUCUUGCUUUCUGUUUUGAAAUGGAAAAGAGUAUGUUCCUUUCUUUGACUACUUCAGAGUUUUAACACAA